rnacentral:rRNA from 1 species
UACGUAGGGUCCGAGCGUUGUCCGGAAUUAUUGGGCGUAAAGGGCUCGUAGGCGGUUUGUCACGUCGGGAGUGAAAACUCAGGGCUCAACCCUGAGCGUGCUUCCGAUACGGGCAGACUAGAGGUAUGCAGGGAGAACGGAAUUCCUGGUGUAGCGGUGGAAUGCGCAGAUAUCAGGAGGAACACCGGUGGCGAAGGCGGAUCUCUGGGCCUUACCUGACGCUCAGGUGCGAAAGCUAGGGAGCGAACAGG